CAAGGCAGCGGCUCUGUGCUGGUCGACUCCUCUACUCUUGACCCAGCUACCAGUCAGAGAGAGAGAGAGCGAGCCGUGGAGUGGAUCUCGCAGCGGGGGCUCCGCCGGCCGCCAACCCCCGACCACCGGCGAACUCCUCGCCGGUGAGUAUGUGCAGCGGCGCCGGAUCUCGCAGCACAGGGAUAUCAGGAACAGAGGUCCAUGGGCAUGGGAUGAGAAUCACAAAUGCUCUGGAGGAAAUGAAGAAUAUCUUAUUAUCUGGCUGUUACCGUCCAUGUUCUUUAGAUUGAACAUUGGCAUAAUUGUUUCUCUCUGCAAUGAUUAUAUUGGAUCUAGCAUCAUGUCAUGGACAUCAUAAGACUUAUCUGCCUUGAUAGUUGAUGUCUACAGGUUGAGCCAUGCUUCUGUUUAUGAGCCUUUGAAGUAACUCUGUGCUAGCUCAAAUGGGCCAAUUUC